AACAACUCUAUAUUAACUGUUUUCAUUCAUAUUUUUUUCUCCAUUCUCCUUUUUCUUCUUCUUUUUUUCUUUUUCAUAAGGAGUAUGUAUUGACAUGUAUACAUCCUACUAUUUUUUUUUCUUUUUUUUCUUCUCUAUUUUCUUUUUCCAUUUUUCUUUUCUUUUUCUACCAACUUCUGAAAUAUUACAAACAUAAUUAUUCAACCCCACACAACUUCAAAUAAGACUCUUUCAACCCUUUGAAUAUGGUGACAACAUUGUUUUUCACUUCUCG
rnacentral:lncRNA from 1 species